rnacentral:rRNA from 1 species
AGGUGGGAGACGUGGAAGCCCGGACGCCAGUCCGGGUGGAGUCAUCGUUGAAAUACCACUCUGGUCACUUUGGACAUCUAACUUCGGCCCGUGAUCCGGGUCAGGGACAGUGCCUGAUGGGUAGUUUAACUGGGGCGGUUGCCUCCUAAAAAGUAACGGAGGCGCCCAAAGGUUCCCUCAGCCUGGUUGGCAAUCAGGUGUCGAGUGUAAGUGCACAAGGGAGCUUGACUGUGAGAGAGACAUCUCGAGCAGGGACGAAAGUCGGGACUAGUGAUCCGGCGGUACAUUGUGGAAUGGCCGUCGCUCAACGGAUAAAAGGUACCUCGGGGAUAACAGGCUGAUCUUGCCCAAGAGUCCAUAUCGACGGCAUGGUUUGGCACCUCGAUGUCGGCUCGUCGCAUCCUGGGGCUGGAGUAGGUCCCAAGGGUUGGGCUGUUCGCCCAUUAAAGCGGUACGCGAGCUGGGUUUAGAACGUCGUGAGACAGUUCGGUCCCUAUCCGCUGCGCGCGCAGGAAAUUUGAGAAGGGCUGUCCUUAGUACGAGAGGACCGGGACGGACGAACCUCUGGUGUGUCAGUUGUACUGCCAAGUGCACCGCUGAUUAGCUACGUUCGGAUGGGAUAACCGCUGAAAGCAUCUAAGCGGGAAGCUCGCUUCAAGAUGAGAUUUCCACACACGAAAGUGUGGGAGGCCCCCAGCCAGACCACUGGGUUGAUAGGCCGGAUGUGGAAGACAGGACCAACGACUGUCGAAGCUGACCGGUACUAAUAGGCCGACAACUUACACCAC